GGAGUUAGCUCAGCGGUAGAGCGCUUGCCUAGCAAGCGCAAGGCCCUGGGUUCGGUCCCCAGCUCCG
rfam:Rattus norvegicus chromosome 8, whole genome shotgun sequence.